rnacentral:rRNA from 1 species
UGGGAACGUGCCUUUUGGUUCGGAACAACACAGGGAAACUUGUGCUAAUACCGGAUAAGCCCUUACGGGAAAGAUUUAUCGCCAUUGGAUGGGCCCGCGUCGGAUUAGCUAGUUGGUGAGGUAACGGCUCACCAAGGCAACGAUCCGUAGCUGGUCUGAGAGGAUGAUCAGCCACACUGGGACUGAGACACGGCCCAGACUCCUACGGGAGGCAG